rnacentral:tRNA from 1 species
GACACUAUGGCCGAGUGGUUAAGGCGUGUGACUAGAAGUCAAAUAGCACAGGUUCAAGUCCUGUUGGUGUCG